UACGAAGGGGGCUAGCGUUGCUCGGAAUCACUGGGCGUAAAGCGCACGUAGGCGGAUUGUUAAGUCAGGGGUGAAAUCCUGGAGCUCAACUCCAGAACUGCCUUUGAUACUGGCGAUCUCGAGUCCGGGAGAGGUGAGUGGAACUGCGAGUGUAGAGGUGAAAUUCGUAGAUAUUCGCAAGAACACCAGUGGCGAAGGCGGCUCACUGGCCCGGUACUGACACUGAGAGACGAAAGCUAGGGGAGCAAAUGGG
rnacentral:rRNA from 1 species